UUUGAAGGCCCAGGUGAAUUGAGAGGAGAUAUUGAUUUUCUUUUAUCCAUGCGGUACUCAGGGAUUACCGAUUUUCUCAUUUAUUUUUAAAGACUAUCUUUCAUGAGGCUUUUUCCCUCCCUUUCUUCUCUUCUGGUUACCUACUAUUCUUUUUUUCUUAACAGCAUUUGUACCCAUUCUCGUCCCAUAUCUGAAUCCCUCCUUGACCCUGAAAAUUGUAAUUCUGCUAUAGAUCAGAGCUGCUGAAUAAUAGCUUUUACAAAACUGCUUAAAUAAAAUAUGUUCAAAUCGCUGAAGUCCCAAAGGCCUUGAAAGAAACUCUAAUGAGAGGCUUGAAGAAGAAGAGAAAGGACAUAGGAGGAAAAGAGGGACUAGUUGCGCUGCAUUGUGAGGACAUGAAUCAUCCGCAACACCUGUUCAGAACAUACAGCACAGAGCUGGAGGGGACGCGUUCGCCCACUGUGAUAUGCUAACGGUUCACUAAAUACACGGCACUAAAGUGGGACGUGCCGAAAGGAAGAUAAAUAAUAGUUUAUAGACACGAUCUUUUAAAAUGUGCACUUGAAGGAACUAAAGGAGAAAAACAGCGAAAUGUUGUAGAUUAAAUAUGACAGACUCAGGGCAGCCAAAUUAACCUUUCAGACAAAGGCAAGAAAACCUCUCAGCCUCUCAGAGGCUUGUUACAAAUAUUUUUUAUAGGCACAGUGAAUAAUUUUCCACUGCAUUAUGAUCCAACUUGAGAUAUCAAACAUCAAAUCAUCGUUUAUAGGAUGUAUACAUGCAUAAUAAAUGAUAUCUUCACAUCAGGAAAACUGAGAAUUCUACAAUAUUAUGCAAGUGCAAUUCAAUUGUAUUUGUAUAGCGCUUUUAACAAUGGACAUUGUCUCAAAGCAGCUUUACAGAAACAUAUAAACACAGGAUACAGAUUUUAAAUGUGUGAAUUUAUCUCUGUUGAGCAAGCCAGUGGUGACGGUGGCAAGAAAAUCUCCUUAAGAUGAUAUGAGGAAGAAACCUUGAGAGGAACCAGACUCAGAAGGGAACCCGUCCUCAUCUGGGUAACAACGGAUAAUGUGAAAGUAAAAGAAAGUUCAUUAUGGUUUUAUAUGAAGUCUGUUUUGUUGAACUAGACGCAUGUCUGUGAAACACAUGUUAUCCGAUCAUUAUCUUUAAUUGCUCUCUCAAACUGCCUAAACAUGAAUAUAUACCAUAUUAUUGUUUCAGCAGGACUCACAUGACCAGGGAUCAUUACAGAUUAGAGAUGACAGGACUUCCUCAACCAACAUGGGAUAGAGGGGCUUCCUGCCUCCCCCUGUGGCCAAGCUGCAGCGAUGAAAAACUAACAGGAAACAACACCUCUUAUGCACCGGGGCAAAUACAAGCGCUGAGAAGGUGAAAGCACUUGGCUCUUAUGAAGAUUUCCUCCCAACCCCAAUUACCACAGAUUCACACUUCGCACAGGCACAAGGAGGAACUCCAAGAAAAAAGGCCCUGCUGUUCUUGUGUCUGGUUUAGGAAGAAGCUCCACAGACGAGGUGCUCAGCCUCUCCAGGGACAAUCGGCCGCGGGCCCUACAACAGCGCAAGGCUCGCCCAAAACACAAGGCCGUCAUUAAAGAAGGCCCUCUUUUAGUCAGAAGCACAAAGUGGGGUCAGAACUGCAAUGCCUUUUCCACAUGUGUCCAAUCCAAGGGCUUUUGACAUGGCAUUGUUUACUAUUCAAGCAGG
ensembl:lncRNA